GACAGAGGGUGCAAACGUUGCUCGGAAUCACUGGGCGUAAAGGGCGUGUAGGCGGGAAGAUAAGUCGGGUGUGAAAUCCCUAGGCUCAACCUAGGAACUGCACUCGAAACUGUCUUUCUUGAGUACCGGAGAGGAAAGUGGAAUUCCUGGUGUAAGAGGUGAAAUUCGUAGAUAUCAGGAGGAACACCAGUGGCGAAGGCGGCUUCUGGACGGUUACUGACGCUGAGACGCGAAAGCGUGGGGAGCAAACAGG
rnacentral:rRNA from 1 species